rnacentral:rRNA from 1 species
GAUGAACGCUGGCGGCGUGCCUAAUACAUGCAAGUCGAGCGAACAGAUGAGGAGCUUGCUCCUCUGACGUUAGCGGCGGACGGGUGAGUAACACGUGGAUAACCUACCUAUAAGACUGGGAUAACUUCGGGAAACCGGAGCUAAUACCGGAUAAUAUAUUGAACCGCAUGGUUCAAUAGUGAAAGACGGUUUUGCUGUCACUUAUAGAUGGAUCCGCGCCGCAUUAGCUAGUUGGUAAGGUAACGGCUUACCAAGGUAACGAUGCGUAGCCGACCUGAGAGGGUGAUCGGCCACACUGGAACUGAGACACGGUCCAGACUCCUACGGGAGGCAGCAGUAGGGAAUCUUCCGCAAUGGGCGAAAGCCUGACGGAGCAACGCCGCGUGAGUGAUGAAGGUCUUCGGAUCGUAAAACUCUGUUAUUAGGGAAGAACAAAUGUGUAAGUAACUAUGCACGUCUUGACGGUACCUAAUCAGAAAGCCACGGCUAACUACGUG